GACAGAGGGUGCAAACGUUGCUCGGAAUCACUGGGCGUAAAGGGCGCGUAGGCGGGGAUGUAAGUCGGGCGUGAAAUCCCCAGGCUCAACCUGGGAACUGCACUCGAAACUGCGUUUCUUGAGUAUCGGAGAGGAAAGCGGAAUUCCUGGUGUAGAGGUGAAAUUCGUAGAUAUCAGGAGGAACACCAGUGGCGAAGGCGGCUUUCUGGACGGUAACUGACGCUGAGGCGCGAAAGCGUGGGGAGCAAGCAGG
rnacentral:rRNA from 1 species